CUCCCGCAUGCCCCUCGGUCACAUCUCUCCCUCAUGGCCCUUCACCCCCUUUUCCCCUCACCCAUCCCUGAGCAGAGGGGAGGAGCGUCCGCCGCGUGAGACAUUCCUCCACGGGAGGGAGCAAAGAAAGGGAAGAAAACUCAAGAAGCACUUUUUACUCCGCUUUGUUGGUGUCCACAUGAGUGACUGGUGUUCAACCACAGCAUAGCUCAUGUGGAUUCAGUUUUGGCUACGAAACAUAACUUGGAAAGAGAAACACAUUUGAAACCAUAGCUGAGCCUCCACAUUUCCUCUGAUUACAAAAGAAAACAUCAGGACCUGGGCUUAGCUCGUGGAUCCUUCUUUUUUUUUGAAGAAAAAAGAGAUGACUGCUGCUGUUCCUUAGUUCUGCUGUGCAAACAUUCAGCAGUUUAAAGUGAGACUAUGUCGAAACAUCUAGCGUGUGGCCAGUUAAUGAUGAUGUUGUCAUUCAAAGUGGUAUUCAUUCAUUUUGGGCCACAGUGGAAAAGGAACGGUAACAUAAAACUUGGUGAAAGACAUUUGUCCAUCUGCACAUCCAGUAGACACGGGGAGCGGAGUGGCCUUUGUGUCCAGCAUUCACCCUCUUUUCUGUCUCUACCAACUCCUGAGACAUCACCCGGAGGAGCUACAUGUGUGAAUAUAAGUGUCCACAUGGGCCGUCCCAGGCUGUGGUCAGUGUCUGGAGAAACAUCAUCCAAACGCAACGGAUCAAAAACUAAGCGCUGAGAAAGACUCCUCAGGAGCUGCAUAUUUGCAAGCCCCUGGGUUUGUCACUAGGGGCCACCCCCUUUCGUAUUACACAUCCUCAUUGAAUCCAGUGUUUAUAUUGCAAGUAGAUACGGCAACAUGUCCAGAUUGUCAGUGUCGACCUUUCGCACAGUGCAGACUCUCCGAAUCUGGCCAAAUCCCGAGUAUGACCAUAGACUUUAAAUUCCAGUGUGUGUUCUGGACUUCAUUCAGUCUUGCACACCCUGAUGGGCCCGAGGAGCACGUAUGAAGGCUUGAGACAAUCUGAUGUGGAUUCGAUGGCCUUGAGUGAAAUGAUGGAGUAAAGAUGUACCUACUGUCGAUGGAGAAAUUGUAUUAUACAACAGCAGAUUGGGAUCUCCAGUGGGGUCACAAAGCAUUACCUCAGUCAGAAAAAACUGUGCGCAGAUGCAUGUUGUGAAAGUCAACAGGGAGAUGUUGUGUUCUGCCCCGGCCCUCUUGCCUUUAACAGGGUCUUAAAAAGUGUUCAGUUUGGUAAAAAACAUCGAAAUGAAACAGAAAUAUAGUUGAAAAAAUAAAUUCCUUCGGGUGCUGCCCGGGUCCUUCUGCUUAUUGGUGAUCCAAUAAGCUGAGCGCUAACUUGGCCAUUUGGUCAUUAUAGCCAUUAAAACCAAUGCCUACACCUUUCAGCCAUGGAGGUCUCCUUCAGGGCAGAUUGCUUGCCUUUGGGCUGUUUCACAUGAUCAUUGUGGACAGGUAACUAGUGACAUGAUGAAGGUGAAGUCCAUUCAGGUGGCUUCACAUUAAUCCUCAAAGCCUGACAUUAAGAUCUGCAGGAUUUCAUUUUCCAGGAAUAUCUGGAUCAAUUGUUGUGCGAGUGCAUCAAGAAGCUGUGGAGAUGUCGACUGACCAACAGACCGGCAUUGGCGUCCAAAGAGACGUGCCUCUAGCUGCCGCAAUAAGAGCAUGUGUGGGACACAAACUGUGUCAAGAGGGAGUAGAUUGUGCAUUUGGAUUACAAAUAUCAAUUGGACAUUGAAUAAAUACCCGCGUGAACCCGCUUCACCUCAUUUUCAGAAACCUGUAUCUCUUCCCAAGAUGGAAGAUUUCGGAGUUUAGCUUUGUGCCGUCUGGUCGUCUCUCACCAGUCUCUCGAACAACCGACGGCGACCUUCCGGUUUGUGGACAAACUCUCUGUCCCCCAGAAGGUCGGUGGUUCGAUCCCUGGCCCCUCCAGUCCAUGUGCCGAAGUGUCCUUGGGCAGGAUGCCUAAAUUGCUGAUCCCCAUUGCUGUGUGUGCGACUAGUGGUGGAAGCGUUGAGCACUUUCGUUGGGAUCUUCAUUCUUGCAGCUGGAUGUUACCUAUCAGCCAGGUCAGUCGUGUUUUAUUAUGCACCAUGCCAACAAUCUUCUUUUGUUUCUAUAAAAAAAUGACUCAUUCCCCUGCUCACGCUCUCAGUUUUGGCCUUGGUUUUUCAGAACUCUCUCUCUGUUUGUGUGUGUGUGUGUGUGUGUGUGUUUCCUCUAUCCCCCAUUUUGUCCAGUCUUCUACUUUUUUUCCCCCUCCAUCUGUUUCCAAUCCGAUCUGCUUCACUCUAACCAGUCUGCCAGGUAACAGGAUAUUUAAUCUUGUCGACUUUUAUCUUCCCCCCCCCCCCUUUUUUUUAUCAAACAAAUUAUUAAAUCUAAAUACUUCAUUUAUUCGUCUCUCCCAAAAUGGAUGAACAAUGCGGAGUUCAAACCCCACAGACAUCUGAGGAUAAUAGUAUGUGCUCAAUUGCAUACAGAUGUGCUCAUGAGCGUGUUUGUGUGUGAGGGUGGGUGUAUGUGAAGGACAAAGAUUGAAGCUGAGGACAGACCUUUCAUGUGUGUACGGGUCUUAAAGACUGUCUCAAAGAUCAACGAGUGAGUUUCUUUUGGUCAAGCAUAUUGUGCAAUAGAUAAGUUAUGAUCCUCUGUUUUUCUGUGUAUUAAUUGAUUCUUUUUGAAGUCGUGCUUAAUUUUUGUUGUUUUAAUACUCAGGCUGUCAAAUUGACGUAUCCUUCCUCUCUGGUCUGCUGUUUGAUAGACUCUUUUUAUUGCUCCCAAGUCGGAUAACAAAUCAUACACAUACAGUUCAUUUUGGUUCUGUUGGCAACAGAGGAUUUGUUUUGGGUGACAUGUGCCUUAUUUUACAUUGGGUGAAGCUGAUCCAUAAAGCACCAUGAGAUUAACCAUCGAUGAAACCGCGAGUCCUUGCUGAGCGUGGAGCUUCAGAAAACACUCUGGACAGACCCUGUGGUGCAAUUAUUGAAUUGGCGUUUCAAAAGUGCCGUGAGCAGCAGGGGUUCAAAGGUCAACGCUGUCACCAACAACAACAAGUCCUCCCGCCCUCAGGAUGUGCUGGCCUCCUAAGAUGACGGUGGGCCACCUGGUUCGAACCGCCCAGGGCCUUUCGGUGUGGGGUUUGCAUGUUCUCCCCAUUUCUGCGUGGGUUCUCUCCGGGUUCUCCGGCUUCCUCCAACGGACCAAUCCAAUGCAGUCUGGAAUUGGGUAAAUUAGAAACUCUAAAUUGAACCAUAGGUGUGAGUGUGAUACGUUGGCGACCUGUCCAGGGUUGAACCCCGCCUCUCGCCCAAUGUCUGAGAUAGAUGGAUGACGGCUUAAUUUCAUUUGAUGGGACAUUGGAGAUGAAUGACGUGUGCUGGGGAGGAAGAAAGGUGUGAGUGUGCGAGAAAAGUGUGUUUAGUAUAGAAAGGAGCCGCGUGAGUCUUGUAUGUCUCCAAAGAGCAGAGCUCAGUGAAUGUCGUGGGGGCAGAAGCCUUACGAUUAUUUUGAAGCUGUUAUUUUAAGGAGAAUAAACUAGUAUUGCUUUAAAGGUUAUACAUGCAGUGUCCCCCCCCCUCAAGGGGACACAGGCAGUUUUCAAAGGUCGGAGACACUUUUGGCGGCACAAGUGAAAUGAACAAACUGAAAUGAACUUUUUUUUGUUUGUUUUGUUUUUGUUUUGCUCUUACUUCUGCUGGGGCCACUUGCCAGGGCAUCAAUGUAAAUGAGAAGCUGUUCUCAAUUGAUCUUACCUGGUAAA